rnacentral:rRNA from 1 species
GAUGAACGCUGGCGGCGUGCCUAAUACAUGCAAGUCGAGCGGUAAGGCUCCUGCAGUUUAUUUGAUUACGAUUGCGCUCGCAGAGUAACCAGUUUACUGGUAUACGAAGCGAAGGCAAUCACAACAGACCCAAUCAACCCCGGCUAGGGAAGAAACGGCGAGGGAAAAUCGAAUGAAGUGCUGGAGUACACGAGCGGCGGACGGCUGAGUAACGCGUAGGAACGUACCCCAAACUGAGGGAUAAGCACCAGAAAUGGUGUCUAAUACCGCAUGUGCUCUAAGGAGUAAAGCUUCGGCGGUUUGGGAACGGCCUGCGUACGAUUAGAUUGUUGGUGAGGUAAUGGCUCACCAAGUCGACGAUCGUUAGCUGGUCUGAGAGGAUGAUCAGCCAGACUGGGACUGAGAACGGCCCAGACUCCUACGGGAGGCAGCAGUAGGGAAUUUUCCACAAUGGACGAAAGUCUGAUGGAGCAACGCCGCGUGAGUGAAGGAAGGGUUUC